UACAGAGGGUGCGAGCGUUGUUCGGAAUUACUGGGCGUAAAGCGCGCGCAGGCGGCCCUUUAAGUCCGUCGGUCAAAUGCCGGGGCUCAACCCCGAUGCAUGCCGAGGAUACUGGAGGGCUGGAGACACGUAGAGGCAAGCGGAAUUCCGGGUGUAGCGGUGGAAUGCGUAGAGAUCCGGAAGAACACCGGAGGCGAAGGCGGCUUGCUGGACCUGGUCUGACGCUGAGGCGCGAAAGCGUGGGGAGCGAACAGG
rnacentral:rRNA from 1 species